AGCAGCCGCGGUAAUUCCAGCUCCAAUAGCGUAUAUUAAAGUUGUUGCAGUUAAAGAGCUCGUAGUUGAAUUUCGGGAUCAAUAUAUCGGUCGUGCCUUGGUACGUACUGGUAUCAUUGGUUUCUCCUUUCUGACGAACCAUGAUGUCAUUAAUUUGGUGUUAUGGGAAGUUAGGACUGUUACUUUGAAAAAUUAGAGUGUUUAAAGCAGGCUCACGCUUGAAUACAUUAGCAUGGAAUAAUGAAAUAGGACGUUUGAUUCUAUUUUGUUGGUUUCUAGGAUCGACGUAAUGAUUAAUAGGGAUAGUUGGGGGCAUUAGUAUUCAAUUGUCAGAGGUGAAAUUCUUGGAUUUAUUGAAGACUAACUACUGCGAAAGCAUUUGCCAAGGAUGUUUUCAUUAAUCAAGAACGAAAGUUAGGGGAUCGAAGACGAUCAGAUACCGUCGUAGUCUUAACCAUAAACUAUGCCGACUAGGGAUCGGAUGAUGUUAAUUUUUAUGA
rnacentral:misc_RNA from 1 species